rnacentral:rRNA from 1 species
UACGAAGGGGGCUAGCGUUUUUCGGAAUUACUGGGCGUAAAGCGCACGUAGGCGGACUCUUAAGUCAGGGGUGAAAUCCCGGGGCUCAACCUCGGAACUGCCUUUGAUACUGUGAGUCUCGAGACCGGAAGAGGUGAGUGGAAUUCCUAGUGUAGAGGUGAAUUUAGUAGAUAUUAGGAAGAACUCCAGUGGCGAAGGCGGCUCACUGGUCCGGUUCUGACGCUGAGGUGCGAAAGCGUGGGGAGCAAACAGG